rnacentral:rRNA from 1 species
GCCGCUGCGACUGUUUAUUAAAAACACAGCACUCUGCAAACACGAAAGUGGACGUAUAGGGUGUGACGCCUGCCCGGUGCCGGAAGGUUAAUUGAUGGGGUUAGCGCAAGCGAAGCUCUUGAUCGAAGCCCCGGUAAACGGCGGCCGUAACUAUAACGGUCCUAAGGUAGCGAAAUUCCUUGUCGGGUAAGUUCCGACCUGCACGAAUGGCGUAACGAUGGCGGCGCUGUCUCCACCCGAGACUCAGUGAAAUUGAAAUCGCUGUGAAGAUGCAGUGUAUCCGCGGCUAGACGGAAAGACCCCGUGAACCUUUACUAUAGCUUUGCACUGGACUUUGAAUUUGCUUGUGUAGGAUAGGUGGGAGGCUUUGAAGUGGGGACGCCAGUUCUCAUGGAGCCAUCCUUGAAAUACCACCCUGGCAACUUUGAGGUUCUAACUCAGGUCCGUUAUCCGGAUCGAGGACAGUGUAUGGUGGGUAGUUUGACUGGGGCGGUCUCCUCCCAAAGAGUAACGGAGGAGUACGAAGGUGCGCUCAGACCGGUCGGAAAUCGGUCGUAGAGUAUAAAGGCAAAAGCGCGCUUGACUGCGAGACAAACACGUCGAGCAGGUACGAAAGUAGGUCUUAGUGAUCCGGUGGUUCUGUAUGGAAGGGCCAUCGCUCAACGGAUAAAAGGUACUCCGGGGAUAACAGGCUGAUACCGCCCAAGAGUUCAUAUCGACGGCGGUGUUUGGCACCUCGAUGUCGGCUCAUCACAUCCUGGGGCUGAAGCCGGUCCCAAGGGUAUGGCUGUUCGCCAUUUAAAGUGGUACGCGAGCUGGGUUUAGAACGUCGUGAGACAGUUCGGUCCCUAUCUGCCGUGGACGUUUGAGAUUUGAGAGGGGCUGCUCCUAGUACGAGAGGACCGGAGUGGACGAACCUCUGGUGUUCCGGUUGUCACGCCAGUGGCAUUGCCGGGUAGCUAUGUUCGGAAGAGAUAACCGCUGAAAGCAUCUAAGCGGGAAACUUGCCUCAAGAUGAGAUCUCACUGGGAUCUUGAAUCCCCUAAAGGGCCGUCGAAGACUACGACGUUGAUAGGUUGGGUGUGUAAGCGCUGUGAGGCGUUGAGCUAACCAAUACUAAUUGCCCGUGAGGCUUG